AACAACUCUAGUUGUUCAGUGUUUGAUUUGUAAAACUAUUUCAAGUACAGGACAAAUUGGAGGCAAGGGACAGGACAA
rfam:Medicago truncatula strain A17 chromosome 4, whole genome shotgun sequence.